UCUAAUAGGAAAAUGAAAAACACUAUUCUUUACAAACGUGUUAAUAAUAUGGAACAAAAAAGCUAAAAAGUAGUUAAAUGUUUUCUCUGCCAGAUUUUUCCUGUAAGGUUUAAUAAUUGUUUUAACUUAGACGUCUUUUGUCUAAACGUAGUACGUAUACGUUAUAAAUUAGAUGUUUUGUAAUGUAUUUUUUUCUUUAACAGGUACUGGCAAGACGAGAGGUUAUAAAAUAAUAAGUAAUAAAAAUAAACGUAAUGAAGACUUUUGUUUUCUCUUUUGCAAGAUCCGAUGUAUUUCCACUGAGGAUCAAUUGUUUUAUAUAUCAUCUCCCUUGAUUGAUGUAUAAUCCACUUCAUUCGUACCCAAAC
rnacentral:lncRNA from 1 species